rnacentral:lncRNA from 1 species
UUAGUGACUCUGAAAUACCAGCUCCUGAGAGUCUGGAAGCAGUGACUAUGAAGAUAGUGCAAGAUAUUGAUCUGUUACCAAACAGAAACAAACAACAGGAAAAAAAGCAAAUACAAGAUGGCAAAAAACCCUGCAACACUGCACAUUUAGAAGGCAAAAGCCAGUGCUACAAGAAAAAGAACCAUUCACAGAAAAAAGACAUAGAAAAGUUACAGUCCAAGAAGAGGAAGAUCCACUGUGUCAUAACAGCUUAUCCAUCAUUUCUAAGGAAAGUGAGCAGAACGAAAAGCAGAAACACCAUUUUCCAGAACCAAGGCUAUUCUGUUACUCUACUUCAGGAAACAAUUAAAUCGUUGCAGCAGCAGAUAGGUGUUUUACUGAAUGAAAAAAAGACAGCAGUAUCUUCUGUGAAGGAAUUUAAAGAAACAAAUGAAAAACUAACAACUCAGCUACGUUUGGCUGAUCAGAGACUUCAAAGUAG